AUGAAAACGUUCCCAGGGUUGAUAAAAAAUGUAAACGACUUUCAUUUCGCCCGGGAGCGAUACCUCUGACGAGGACUUCAAAGGACAGCUGGAAGACCCAGGACAAACUCGAGGCGAAACCUCCACCUGAGUAGAGCAGGCAGGUCAAAGUGCGGCAGCCUUGGAGGAUAAAGAAUGGACCCCUUUUCUGACAUUUGGUGAUGUUAUGCGAUGCAGCAAGAGGGAAUUCCUACACCGAU